GACGUAGGGCGCGAGCGUUGUCCGGAUUUAUUGGGCGUAAAGAGCUCGUAGGCGGCUUGUCGCGUCGAAUGUGAAAACUCGGGGCUCAACUCCGAGCUUGCAUUCGAUACGGGCAGGCUAGAGUUCGGUAGGGGAGACUGGAAUUCCUGGUGUAGCGGUGAAAUGCGCAGAUAUCAGGAAGAACACCCGUGGCGAAGGCGGCCCUCUGGGACGGUACUGACGCUGAGACGCGAAAGCGUGGGGAGCGAACAGG
rnacentral:rRNA from 1 species